AGAGGUUUCGAUUACUGGCUCAGGAUGAACGCUGGCGGCGUGCCUAACACAUUCAAGCCGAACGAACUGUAGAAAUACAGUGAGUGGCGGACGGGUGAGUAACGCGUAAGCAAUCUGCCUUUGUGUGUGGAAUAACAACCGGAAACAGUUGCUAAUACCGCAUAACGCAGAGAGAUCGCAUGGUCUUUCUGCCAAAGAUUUAUCGCACAAAGAUGGGCUUGCGUCCGAUUAGAUAGUUGGCGGGGUAACGGCCCACCAAGUCAACGAUCGGUAGCCGGACUGAGAGGUUGAACGGCCACAUUGGAACUGAGAUACGGUCCAGACUCCUACGGGAGGCAGCAGUGGGGAAUAUUGGGCAAUGGACGAAAGUCUGAACCCCAGCGACGCCGCGUGAGGGAAGAAGGUCUUCGGAUUGUAAACCUUAGUCAACAGGGACGAAGCAAGUGACGGUACCUGUGGAGGAAGCCACGGCUAACUACGUGCCAGCAGCCGC
rnacentral:rRNA from 1 species